rnacentral:misc_RNA from 1 species
GCGGGGCUUGUGACAUUUGCAUAUUCUCUCGAGAAUAAUAAAAACUGAUACACUUGAGAGUCAAAGCUUCCAAUUUCCAUCAUCACUGAUUCGCUUCUACAAGAUGCAUCUGAUAAAUGCGGUCAUGGCCACCAGGAUGGUCACGACGCUAGCCCAAUCGAACGGCGUCGGAGAAGGAAUUCCUUUUGGAUCCGUCUGGUGGUUCAUUUACGCUGGCAUCUCCUGCAUACUCGUUCUCUUCGCCGGUAUCAUGUCCGGUCUUACGCUCGGCCUCAUGUCCCUCGGCCUCGUCGAGCUCGAAAUUCUCCAACGUAGCGGCACCUCUUCCGAGAAGAAACAAGCAGCUGCUAUUCUUCCCGUGGUUCAAAAGCAGCACCAGCUUCUAGUGACUUUGCUUCUAUGUAAUGCUGCCGCCAUGGAGGUAAUUUCGUGAACUUACGUUGAUUAUAUGAUUAUUAUAGUCAUACAAAUGGAGAUUUCUGAACAUUUUUCAGUGUUAUGAUGAAUUCGACAUUUUUUUUUGAAAGUGUGAGAUUCGGAUGUGAAAGGCUAGCAAUCGAUGCAUGAAGCAAAAUUUAGAAGAGUAAUGCGAGUGAGAUUUUAAGGUGUUAAGUAUUCAGCCGGAAAAUAUAAACUUUUAAGAUGAAUGGUUGUGGAAAACUCUACAAGAGAACCGCUGUUGUGUUUCAUUGCCACAACUGUUAUUGCCCUACAUGCUAGGGCCGUUUGUCAUUGCUGACUGGUAAUAUAAUUUGUGUUGAUGUGGUAAUCCGAGCCAUUAAUUGGGGUGUCAGAGAAGCUGAUUUGUUUUUUUAUGAAAUUUCGUGUAAACUUGUUUGGUGGUAAGUUUCGCCUCCAAGAAGUUUAAGCUUUGAACCCAAAAAUUUAAUAGGUGAGGUUGGAUGAAAUGCAUUAACAAGUAUUAUACUUCAUAUUGUUAUUUGAUUACUUCAAUGUGGGCACUUUUUGGAGAAAUAGCUUUAGUACUAUUUUAAAACAUCCAGCCCAAAAGCUUAUGCUUUUUGUUUUAGGAUCAACAAUGGAAUAACUGAAGGCAUGUGGGCCUGAGUGCAGUGAAAAGAAAAGAAAAGAUGGAAUCUGAAACUAAGAUUAUGUAAACAAUAAUAGACUAACAAUAUGAUUAUGGAAUUUUGGCACAUAAAUUUUAGUAAGAAAAUUAUUAUGCAAAUAUGAAUGUUUUAUAUUCUGAUACAAUUGCACAGAAUUCACUUUACUUUUAAUCAUAGCUGUUGACUUUGCCAUUGCAAUAUACAGGCUCUUCCUCUAUACCUCGAUAAGCUUUUCAAUCAGUAUGUUGCUAUAAUACUUUCGGUGACAUUUGUUCUGUUUUUUGGGGAGGUAUGUAUUCUACAAAUUUCCAAGGUUAAGCUGUGCCCUCCCCCACCAUAUUAGGUCCUUUGGGUUGUUGGGGAAGGGAAUAUGGUUAAAGUUGACAUUCUUUAUCUCUCAGGUUAUUCCUCAAGCAAUAUGUUCCAGAUAUGGACUCGCAGUAGGUGCCAAUUUUGUAUGGCUUGUGCGAAUUUUGAUGAUUAUUUGCUAUCCAAUAGCAUAUCCCAUUGGGAAGAUUCUGGACUGGGUACUGGGGCAUAAUGAAGCAUUAUUUAGGCGAGCUCAGUUAAAAGCUCUUGUUUCCAUCCACGGUCAGGAGGCUGGCAAGGGAGGUGAGCUCACGCAUGAUGAGACAACAAUUAUUAGCGGAGCACUGGAUUUAACUGAAAAGACUGCUGAAGAGGCUAUGACGCCUAUUGAAUCAACUUUCUCACUAGAUGUCAACUCCAAGCUGGAUUGGUUAGUCUUGCUUCCAAUUGGUUUGUUUGGUAUUUUUGUUUGAGAUGUUAUUGAGAAAAAGAUUAUAUUAAAUAUAUUUAUUAGAGAACAUUACAUUUUGAUUUGAAUUUAAAUUUGACACAUUUUAGUCUGAAGGACUUUAAAAUAGCAGUUCUUAAUGUUCUACAAUUUCUGAAAAGGUGCUUUUCCAAAAAGCAAUUUCAACGUCAAUCCAAACAGGCUCUAAAUUAUUGUUGACAUCUCUUUUUUCCCCUUACUAAUUUUUUUUUCCGUCUUAUUCUACUGAACACAUGCACUUCUCCAAUAUAUUUGUUUCUUUAAAAAUACUGUUAACUUAGGGAGGCAAUGGGAAAAGUUCUUGCUCGAGGGCAUAGCCGAGUUCCUGUGUAUUCUGGGAAUCCAAAAAAUAUUAUAGGACUUCUUCUGGUGGGUUUAGAACUAAUAUCUUUUUACAAAUUUCAGUGCUGUAAACAGAAAUCUUGAUAAAUAUCAUCCGAUUUUAUAAGUGGUUUUCCUGUCCUCUUUUUCUUCCUCCCUCCAUUCCAAUUGGAAUUAGGUGAAAAGCCUUCUCACUGUACGACCUGAGACAGAGACCCCAGUCAGUGCUGUUUCAAUUCGGAGAAUUCCACGGGUUCCAUCUGAUAUGCCUCUGUAUGAUAUACUGAAUGAGUUUCAAAAGGGCAGCAGUCAUAUGGCAGCUGUUGUGAAGUCUAAAACUAAAACCAAGGUACCUUUAUCAACAGGAGAAAAAGUUGAAGAAAACAAAGCAAAUUGUGGGGAUUCUCACUUGACAACUCCUUUACUAGCUAAGCAACAAGAGAAAUCAGAUAGUGUAGUCGUUGAUAUCAAUAGGGUUUCAAGGCCAUCCAAUAUAAAUAAGCAAAUCACUUCACAAUGUAAUGAUGCAGCAACCAAUGGUUUGCCCCAACCAUCAGAGGACAUUGAAGAUGGUGAAGUUAUUGGUAUCAUCACACUGGAAGAUGUAUUUGAAGAACUUCUGCAGGAGGAAAUUGUGGAUGAAACAGAUGAAUAUGUAGAUGUACAUAGAAGAAUCCGUGUGGCUGCAGCUGCAGCUGCUUCAUCAGUGGCACGAGCUCCAUCAAGUCGGAGGUUGACAGUAAACAAAGGAGCUGGAGGUCAAAGCAAGCCAGGGCAAACCCUCAGGAAAUCUGAGAAUGAUUCGAGUACCCCAAGGCUACUAGGGGCUGCUGGUGAGCCUUUUUCUGCAAACAAGAGAUGAGAAAGGAUAUACAGUUGUGUACUUUGCAACAGUUCUGAGAAGAGAGGUACUUUUUGUCCCUACUACAAUAAAUAUGGAAUAAAUGCUUGUAAUAUAUGGAAAUUGAUUGUACUGAGCGGACUGUCUUCUCCUUCCAGCUACGUGCUCUUCCAUUGCUGUUGUUUGUGAUGUGUAUCGUGUAUUGAGAAAAAUCUGUGAAUAUGCUCCAAUUACCUUUUGGAACUGUAAGAGAUAUAUUCUGGAAUUUUUAUUUUUAUUAUUAUUUUUUUUUGGGAUAAAGAGUUGAGAAGGAUCCUAUCAACAAAUUGGUUGAAGCCUGUAUCAUUGGGUGCUGAUGUGGAUGUUCCUAGCGUUGAUUGCAUUAUGGAAGACGGUUUCCACUGGAAACGAAAACAAUGAGAGAGAUUAUUUAUUUAUUUUGGAACUUGUGGGCAUGUGAGUGUUUGGCCUAUGAAUCUUUCAAUAUUGUCUCCUCUCUCAUAAAAUUGUUUCUUUGAUAUGUACAUAGAGGUUGCAUUAAGUAAAUCUAUGAUGCGGUUCUAGGCACAAUUUCUUU